rnacentral:rRNA from 1 species
UAUACCGUGAAACUGCGAAUGGCUCAUUAAAUCAGUUAUCGUUUAUUUGAUAGUACCUUACUACUUGGAUAACCGUGGUAAUUCUAGAGCUAAUACAUGCUAAAAACCCCAACUUCGGAAGGGGUGUAUUUAUUAGAUAAAAAACCAACGCCCUUCGGGGCUUCUUGGUGAUUCAUGAUAACUUUACGGAUCGCAUGGCCUUGCGCCGGCGACGGUUCAUUCAAAUUUCUGCCCUAUCAACUUUCGAUGGUAAGGUAUUGGCUUACCAUGGUUUCAACGGGUAACGGGGAAUUAGGGUUCGAUUCCGGAGAGGGAGCCUGAGAAACGGCUACCACAUCCAAGGAAGGCAGCAGGCGCGCAAAUUACCCAAUCCCGACACGGGGAGGUAGUGACAAUAAAUACUGAUACAGGGCUCUUUUGGGUCUUGUAAUUGGAAUGAGUACAAUUUAAACCUCUUAACGAGGAACAAUUGGAGGGCAAGUCUGGUGCCAGCAGCCGCGGUAAUUCCAGCUCCAAUAGCGUAUAUUAAAGUUGUUGCAGUUAAAAAGCUCGUAGUUGAAACUUGGGUCUGGCUGGCAGGUCCGCCUCACCGCGUGUACUUGUCCGGCCGGGCCUUCCUUCUGGAGAACCUCAUGCCCUUCACUGGGCGUGCUGGGGACCAGGACUUUUACUUUGAAAAAAUUAGAGUGUUCAAAGCAGGCCUUUGCUCGAAUACGUUAGCAUGGAAUAAUAGAAUAGGACGUGCGGUCCUAUUUUGUUGGUUUCUAGGACCGCCGUAAUGAUUAAUAGGGACAGUCGGGGGCAUCAGUAUUCAAUUGUCAGAGGUGAAAUUCUUGGAUUUAUUGAAGACUAACUACUGCGAAAGCAUUUGCCAAGGAUGUUUUCAUUAAUCAGUGAACGAAAGUUAGGGGAUCGAAGACGAUCAGAUACCGUCGUAGUCUUAACCGUAAACUAUGCCGACUAGGGAUCGGGCGAUGUUCUUUUUCUGACUCGCUCGGCACCUUACGAGAAAUCAAAGU